ACCACCCAUUGCCUAAAAACUAGUGGCUGUGUCAUUACAUUCUCUCAUUGUCAACAUCAUCACUAUCAGUUUGGUACAGAGGAAAAAGAAGAUGGAUCGUGAACGAUUUAUUUCGUGGCCCUGUGUUCUUAUAUUUUUACUUCCGUUUUGUCAAAUAGGAGCGUUGCAGAAUGUUCCUCCUCCCGGUGUCGCUCUGGGUAUGGAAAGUGGAGCCAUCCAAGAUUCAAGCCUGACAGCAUCUAUGUAAAUCUGGGUUAUGGCCCCGAGAGAGGACGCCUGAACAUAGAUUCAGCCUGGUUUGGAGGUACUAGCGCUAAAUCAUCAUGGAUCCAGGUUGAUCUGUCCACUACUUAUCGUAUCACUGGAGUCGCAACACAAGGUCGUUGGGACGUUGCCCAAUGGGUUACAAGCUUUAAGGUAGCAUGCAGCAUAGACGGUAUUACGUUCGAUAUAGUACAAGACGCCCUCAACCAGCCCGUAGCCGA